UGGUAUUCUUCAACAGAGUGGAGUGAAUCAAUCAUCCUGUCAGUAUCUGCAGCUGUGUCCAGUCCCUUCAGCUCUUUUUUCUUGUGGAUCAUUGUACCAGUUUCUGGGAUCGUUCUUGUUGUUCUGCUUCUCCUGUUGUAGCGCUGCAGUCAGUCCAGAGGUUUAUUCUGCUUCAGGCACUCAGAGAGGAGCAGUCAGAUUGAGAUUCGUGAAUACAACUCUCCCUUUGAAG